UAAAUCUAAUUAUUUAAUAAAAGCGUUAAAAUAAUUAACAUAAUCAUCUGAUAAAAGCUUUAGAAUAUUCAAUCAUUUAUUUGAAAUUACAAAAUACACUAGACGAACGGACAGUAUGAUUGAUAUUGUACUUACCUUUAAUAUUACACAUUCUUAGUUACUAUUUUAAAUUCGAAUAUAUUCCCGCGCUUUUGUGAAUUUGAAAAAUAGCGCGAGAAUGAUAUCGAUAACAAUAAAUUCAAUACUUGUAACUAUAACAUUAAUUAAAAAAAGAAAAGGCGCCGAAUUAAUUUGUACACCUAAUAGAAUUAAGCUAUUCCUUUAUAAGUUUUGUAUAAACCCAAUGUGGCUCUAUUUCUUAGGAUUUUCUAUUCACUAGUAGCUUUAUUGUAACUCUUAAAUGUUUCGUACAUACAUAUACAUUAUGUACACGAAAAAUGAUGCGUUUAGAGUUAGGUGUAUAGAUAUUUGUUCACUUUAAGGAAAACUUGCUAAUCAAAGAGAAACCUGAUUGUUUCAAAAUUAAGAAAGUGUCUGAUAACAGAAUGAAUUUGCAUAGAGUGAACAAAAGAAAAAGGCUAUUAAUUUUAAGUGAUUUGCUCAACAAAAACAUUAGAUUCCCCUGUAAUUGUAUCUAUCUACUUUGUUUGAAAUUAGACUUAACGUUAAGAGAAGUCGAAUGAAAUGAAAACUGUGAAAAGAGAUCAGCGUCCAAGGCGGCAACAAUGCUUUGAUUGGCCGAAAUAUUGGCACAGACCAUACCCUUAAAGUAGCAUUUUGAUACUCGAGAUCGUCUAUUAAGUGUCACUGUUGGAAAGUAAAAAAAAAAAAAGAAAAAAAAGAAAUCUGUGUGCGAGUGAACCAAAUCCGGCGUCGUUUGUGAAGCGUGUUUUUUCAUUUUUCUACGAGACAGAGAGAAUUAGCUGAGCCCCCACAAUGGAACCCACGUCUCUAGACAAACGAAUAGAAUGAAUCAAUUCACUGUAAAGAUAAUUAGUGCGAUAGAAAAAGGAGCUGGAGGAAUCGAGGGAAGACUCGAUACACUUGCAAGCUUUCCCAAGAUACUUAUUAAAUAAAAUAUUUAAAAAAUGAUUGAAAUUUCUCUUGGGACAGCCUGCAACGCGUAAGGCGCUAGCUAUUCAUGUAAAGAACAAAAAAAAAUGGAAAGAAAAAGAAGAAAAGGUGUAUCGCUGAAUAUCAGGACACUUCAAAGGUUGCAGCAUGUACCCUGGUGUUCUUUUGUAUAUUUUCAAACUAGAAACGUGCAGCUAAAAUCCAGGGGAUACCUUUUGCAAGCCACCUUUGAAAUGUUCUUAGAACGUGCGUUUAUGUAUCCGUAACGAAGUAAGAAAAAGGAAGAGCAUAACAAGCGAAAUGCCAUAUGUGUUUUCACAGGGGGAAAAUUUUCUAACGACAAAAGGCUGAUUGUUCUUUAACGCGUUAACCUAAAAUCAUUCACCGAAGACUUCGUCCUCCUUUUCAGGAUACACUGAGUUCCAUUUAAGUCAGUGAUUUUUAGACAAAUGUUCCACAUUGUAGAUUUAACUUGCAUGAAUAAUUUGUCUCAAAGUAUACUUAAUCCAUAUGAUUUUCAUGAUUGGCAAUAUGUUAAUUAUUUUUAAUUCUGGAAUGAAAGAUUUCCUAGCCAGUUAUAGGUGAAAUAUUUAAAAUCCUGUGUCUAGGAUUACAUCAUAAUAAUUCAUGUAAAUUCAGUAAAUUAUUGUUAAACAAUAUUUGCUUAAUGUUUCAAAAUUGUAGUGAUUUUUAGACUAAUCUUCCACAUUGUAGAUUUAACUUGCAUGAAUAAUUUGUCUCAAAGUAUACUUGAUCCACUUGAUUUUCAUGAUUGGCAAUCUGUUAAUUAUUUUUAAUUCUGGAAUGAAAGAUUUCCUAGCCUGUUAUAGGUGGAAUAUUUGAAAUCCUCUGUGAAGCAUUACUUCAUAAUAAUUCAUGUAAAUUCAGUAAAUUAUUGUUAAACAAUAUUUGCUUAAUGUUUCAAAAUUGUAGAGAGUAAAGAGGAACCACUGACUUGAAUUGAAGGAAGAGCAGAGCUACUAGAUUUAGGAUCUUUGCCUCGAAUCGGAUGCCUAGACAAUUUCACUUUUAUAUUUACAUCUGGUAGGAUUUACAUGACUGAAUCGAGGAACCAAAGGCCUUCUUCAGGUCCAAGGGGAGGAUGAUUGUCAACGAGAAUUUAUCCUAGUGUAAGACAACGUUUCUGAUACGAAUCAACCCUGAAUAAUAGUACAUGAAAAUUUGUCUGAAAUUUUUGUUUAAUUAAUUAAGAAAAGUCAUGAGUGUACUGUAGUCUCAGAAACGUUGCCUCAGGGUCGUGUGAUCGGUUUUUAAUCCAGGGAUGAAAAUCACUGUACGAUACAAUUUUGUAAUGUAAUUGUGCAUACGGAAGCAUGUAAUAAAAGAAGACUAAACGACGGCAUCAACGUUUGCCUUAAACGCUUCCUGCAUCCGGAUUUUCCUGUUACAGUAAUUCCUUUUCUAAACAAGCUUUACAUGCAAGUGGAUCUGAUACUGAAGAAGCUACAGUUUCUCCUGGAACAAAAAAGGAAAGAAUCCUUCCUUCUCCAUAGAAGCACGAGUAACACUAAAACCGUACAGACAAAUUCCUGACGUUUGCUUGAGUGUGGUGGGCAACGAUCGUGGGAAAUCUCACCUGCGACCUCGUCUCCAACGAAUCAAUAUUAUACGAGAGUAUACGAAUUGUUGGGGAUAGAAAUCUUCAAUGUCGCAUUACAGCUGAUACCCACUGUAAAAUAUGAAGUAAUAGGAUUGCAGCAGGAUUGAAGCACCUCGAGUUUUCACGCUGGAUUUCACCAUGGAUUUUAGAUCCUUAUCUAAUACGUCCUGUCUCCUCUCCUUCUGAAUGGUGACAUUAUUUUCUGUUACACAUGAUUUCUUGCUGAAAAUCUACUUUACAUAUUUCUUUUUGGAAUUACUGAAACAAUUAAUGGAAUUUAAAGACACUACUAACACUACAUUGCUGGAGAAAUAGAUCCUUCAUAGAAAUAUUUAUAGCACAUAUGGAUUUUUGAAACUAAGGAGUGGAAGGGGGAGGAAUUAAUAUUUGUAUACAUUUCAUAAUUCUAUUAAAAACCAACAUAUGUUUAAAAAACAGUUAUUUAAAUUUUUCUAUAUAUAUACAUAGCAAUAAAUUCUACUGUUAAUAAAUACUGAGGCAUGCUGUUAAAUUUAGAAAAUUAAAACAAAAUUGUAUUGUUACUGUCUGUAAUCGUUCACUAACGACAAUCAAAUCAAGUGUUACAUUGUCUCCCUGACAAUCAUGCAGAGCAUAUUUGGGGGAAAGUACAAGCAUAAAAGUGAUCCGACAGGGUGCAUGGGGGUCGAUGAUUUCGCUGGAACUUCAGAAAACACCCCAGGGAUGCAGCUGCCCAGGUGAAAUGUAGAAGAUAAAAUCUUCAUUAAAAAUCAAAACAAAGGACAGAAUUCUGUAAUCAAAUAUAAAUUUUGAUCCAUCAAGAUUGAGUGGCUGUUAUUUGUUAAGAACACAGUCCAUCCGCACAUCAUCAACACCAAUGGUACCAUCCAGGACCUUGCCACUGUUACGACACGAAUCGAGAAUUAAUACUUUAUCUGUGUGUCACUCCAGCUGCGAGGAUCAACACAAGUGCGACCCUCGUGACAAGAGGGUGCUCUUAAUGCGUCUCUGAUACGCGCGAAAGGGGAUGCAGCCGCGAUUCUAUGGUUUGCUAAUUUUCACGGGAUCACGGUACCGUGACGUUCGAGCCGAUUACGUUCAACCUGGGGUAUUGAACUUUCACGCCUCCCCCUUCGCGGCGAGGACACCGCUGGAUCUUCCUAUUGGCCUUAUGAAUCAAGAACAAUUUAACACUAGAACUACCGACGUUUGAUGCACAGUAAUUUCUAAGUUGAAAAUAAUACAGAAAAUUAAAUAAAUAUGGGUUGAAAUAUAAUUAAACAUAUCCAUUCUUUAUCUUGACAAUAGCUAACAUAUAUUCCAGCAAAAAUACCUGGAUAGAAUUUAUAAAUUGAAAUAAAAAACUUGAAAGAAUCAGUUUUACCCCCUUAGUAGUUCUGGUGUUAACUAUUUUAACAUAAGUUGGACUGUUGUAUAAAUCUUGCAAUUUUAAAACAAAUCAUUUUUACCCUGGUAGUUCUGGUGUUAACUAUUUUAACAUAAGUUGGACUGUUGUAUAAAUCUUGCAAUUUUAAAACAAGUCAUUUUUACCCCUUUGGUAGUUCUGGUGUUAACUAUUUUAACAUAAGUUGGACUGUUGUAUAAAUAUUGCAAUUUUAAAACAAACCAUUUUUACCCCUUUGGUAGUUCUGGUGUUAACUAUUUUAACAUAAGUUGGACUGUUGUAUAAAUCUUGCAAUUUUAAAACAAAUCAUUUUUACCCGGGUAGUUCUGGUGUUAACUAUUUUAACAUAAGUUGGACUGUUGUAUAAAUAUUGGAAUUUUAAUUUCAUAAGUGUUCAACGUUAACAGCGAUAAUCACUUGAAGGUACUUAAUAUUGAUAUCAGAAGCGUUAUAAAACUGAUACUAGCUGAAUGAGUGUGAUAAGAGCAGGUGUAUGGACACACCUGGGUCAAUUGUAGAUAAAACUUCACCCACUUUCAAUUAUCAUGCUACACCGGAUUUGUGAACAAUACCUUCAAGUAUAUUUAAGUAUCUUAAUUUAAUCAUUUCAUAAACCUUUGAAUGUAUUAUACUUUGUAGAUACUCCAAUGAUUUGUAACUUUGCAGGCAUUGAAGGGAGGAGAAGUGGUUCAGAAAAAGUCCAAUUCGUCCCCAGGUUUACGUGUAUCGUCCCUAAUUGUCCACAAAUCGACGGUCACCCCCCUCGAUUUCCGAACCGUUGAGUGCAACCACCCCCGAGGCAGCUAGGGCGUUCCGCUAGUUUUGUAGAAGGGGUCCCGGUACAACGGGGUAGAAUAUGGAUUCAAUUACAUCUCAUUGUGCCACGGUGUCUAUAAACAAUGCUGUUUUCACAGCUGAUAGCGGCCCACGUCCUGCUGCGGGUUGACGAUGUCACUGGUUCACCCAGUUAAACGAAUUUCACUUCACUGGAAUGGACUGAAGCUUUCUUUCAUGGAAAAUCUGCUCACUGCUACUUUGUAUUAUUACUUUUUUUUAUUAAAAUUAAGUAGGUGAUAAGAAGCUGAUAUAAAAUGAAAUAUAGAAGAAUGGAAACAGAGGAACACUAUGGAAUAGAAGAUUUUUAAUAAAUAAGAAGAAUUGAAGAAAUACA